rnacentral:misc_RNA from 1 species
GUUUCUUUCUGGUGAUGUAAUUGUUUCUCCAAUGUACCGUUGUCAGGAUGCUCGUAAACGACCAAUGGAGUGCAACCAGGAUCGAUGCAACAACCAAGUAUGUGGGCGACAUGUUUGUGUGCAACUACAUACAAAACCUCAAUUUGGGAUAGGACGUUCAUAACGUCGCCUUCGUUCUCGCAUCGCAGCCGGUGCACAGCUACUCUUGAGCCAUCCCCGAGUACCCCAGCGAAGAUUGCUCCGUUUCGGCUCUCCGCAAGCUUCGCAUUGUCCUCAAAUCCUCUGGUGGCUUGUUGUAGCUCAUGGUAAGUGAAUAAACGAGUCCUGCAAGCCUUUUGGAGGAAAGCAUUGGUGUGAAAUUGGCUGUGGGAAGAGUUUAGUGUGGUUUGUUUCAUUGGUCGUCUUAGUAUGCAAAACAGUCCAAUCAUAGAGGCUAUAAUGAAAAGAGGAGCAAGAACUCCUGUAAAAAUAACAAGUUGCUUUUCACGGCGUGAUUUGACAUUACAACUACUACCAUAUUCUUGACGCCCUUUCUUAACACAAGAUUUGAAGCAGCCAAAUCCAUUAGCAAAGCCAUCACCAACAAAGCCAUCAGAACAAGAACAACGAACCCCAUCGGUAACUGCAGUAGCAUUAACAACAAACCCAUUCUUAUCACAAAUCGUCAAAUUCCUCGGAAGUCCCCAUUCCAAUUUGACUCCUCGUUUCCCACUUCUCCAUCCUUUCUCCACCACCCAGCUCGAGAAUCCCCUGCAUCCCAGCUUCGAAAACAGAGUAAAAUCUCCCCUGUUUCGCCACAGAGUACGGUCUGUGAGGGAGAAGCAGCAGGCCGGCGAGUAGUGCGGCGGCGUUGACUCACAGCCAGGCAAAAUAAGGUUCUGGCAAGUGGGUUUGCAGAGAGAAGAGUCGUUACAGUCGUAGAGAGCGAGAAGAUUGUCGUCGGAGAUGGCGAAAAAAGGGUUUUGAGAAAUAGAGGAAAAUGCGUUGAAAUCGUUGUAUUGACGGCAGGGAGAUGGGCCGGGGAAGUCGACUAAAACGGCGUCGGAGAGGAAUUGGAGGAUGCGGUAAGAUUGGGAGGUGAGAUUGAGGAAGAGGGAAGUGGAGUUGAGGCAGUAGAGAAGAAAUGGGUUGGGAAUUGUUGGGAUUGAGUGAGUAGUGGUAGUGUUGAGGGAGAAAGGGAAGGGGAUUUGAAGGUUGCCGCAAACGGCGGCGGAGACAGGGCGG